CAGGUCGCCACGUCAGUGGAGCAUUCAAAGAUGCCACUACAAAAGGUGACCCAAAGGAAAGGUCGGGCGGUUUUGAACACGAAAAAGGCAGUGUUCAACAAGAGUCACGGCAGUUCUUAUCUCUCGCAGUCAUUUAUUCUGACCAAGCUGAAGAAGCGGUUGCGAAC